UAGUCCACGCUGUAAACGAUGAUCACUCGUUGUUGGCAAUACACCGUCAGCGACCAAGCGAAAGCGUUAAGUGAUCCACCUGGGGAGUACGUUCGCAAGAAUGAAACUCAAAGGAAUUGACGGGGGCCCGCACAAGCGGUGGAGCAUGUGGUUUAAUUCGAUGAUACGCGAGGAACCUUACCAGGGCUUAAAUGCAAAACGACCGGCUGGGAAACCAGCCUUUCUUCGGACGGAUUGCAAGGUGCUGCAUGGUUGUCGUCAGCUCGUGCCGUGAGGUGUCGGGUUAAGUCCCAUAACGAGCGCAACCCUUAUCCUCAGUUGCCAGCGGGUAAUGCCGGGGACUCUGGGGAAACUGCCGGUGCAAACCGUGAGGAAGGUGGGGAUGACGUCAAAUCAUCACGGGCCCUUAUGUCCUGGGGCUACACACGUGCUACAAUGGCGAGUACAAAGGGGCAGCCACCUGGUGACAGGGGAGCUAAAUCUCGAAAACUCGUCCCAGUUCGGGAUUGGGAGUCUGCAGC
rnacentral:rRNA from 1 species